UACGUAGGGAGCAAGCGUUGUUCGGAUUUACUGGGCGUAAAGAGCGCGCAGGCGGUCGUGCAAGUCGCGUGUGAAAGCCCCCGGCUCAACUGGGGAGGGUCACGCGAUACUGCUCGACUCGAAGGCAGGAGAGGGAAGUGGAAUUCCCGGUGUAGUGGUGAAAUGCGUAGAUAUCGGGAGGAACACCAGUGGCGAAGGCGACUUCCUGGCCUGUUCUUGACGCUGAGGCGCGAAAGCUAGGGUAGCAAACGGG
rnacentral:rRNA from 1 species